UAAGACACCGAAUGUUCUUCUCUAGGCCUAUCAAGCAACUGUGCAUGAGCCUUACAUAUUUUGUUUUACAUUUCUCAUCCAAAUGAAAAGUUCAACCAAAUUAUUUGUUUACAAUUGUGUAAAAAGGUGGAAGUUUGUUUACAAUUGUGUAAAAAGGUGGAAGUAUAUGGAAGUGAAAAGAAAAAGACAAAAGAGACUGCAGAUUACAAACUGGAGAGUGCCAUGUGAAAAACAAGAAGCUUAUCUGCUUCCAAAAACUGGUGACACUCUUCUUCUUCCAGCUUCCUCCAAUUGCUCUCCUGACA
rnacentral:lncRNA from 1 species